rnacentral:lncRNA from 1 species
CACACAACUCCUCCUGGCUAAGGCCUGCGCUGGAGGCAGAAACUGAAUUCUCCUGGCCCGCCGCGAGGAGACCGCGUCCUGCCCCCACCCCAGGUGGGUAUCUGGGAUCCCUACAAGCCAGGAGUCAGGCCCCUAAGCCCAGCAGGAGUGAAACCCCUAGGGCCUGUGAACGUGGCCCUCUCAACGCCACGGCCUGCAUUCCCGCCGGCCCCCCCGCCCGCCCUGCCGCCCCGCAGCAAACGGGGCUGUUUCCGGCUCCCCCAACCCGGUCUGGUUUCCCAGCCUGGGGAGUGGCUGAAGGAGGAGCGGCCCCAGAACCAGGGGUGCUCUCUGCCCGAAGCCCCCAUGGCUCUGGGCGCCUUGUUACCUGAUCUUUGUGUGAUGUGUGUGUCGCAAGGAAAUUUGCAGUGACUUUGGAGCCCAGACUGAGGAAGCGGAGGUGGCGAAAGGAGAGACAAUACGGGCCCGAAGUACAAUUAAGGGGCCAGAGCCGCUAGUCUCUCCCCCGCCCUCCCUGCCAGACUAGGAGCUGUCUGGCCUCAAACCUCAGGGCAACCCGCGAACCUGGAGCCGGAAACUCAGCCCGUGCCGGAGGGAACCAGAGGAUCCGGCAUCCAGAACGUUGGAGGAGAGCUCCCUUCCAACUUGGGGGCGCAGCAACCAGCCCUGCUGUGUUGCGGCGAAUCCAAUGAAUGAAAGUGCACAUUC